rnacentral:piRNA from 1 species
AGAGGAGACUGGACUAGGGACCG